AUUGAACGCUGGCGGCAGGCCUAACACAUGCAAGUCGAGCGAGCGGCGGAGGGGUGAGUAAUGUAUGGGGAUCUGCCCGAUAGGGGGGGAUAAAUACUGGAAACGGUGGCUAAUACCGCAUACUAUCGUGUGCACCCAUAUGGGAUUAGCUAGUGGGUGGGGUAAAGGCUCACCUAGGUGGCGAUCUCUAUCUGGUGUGAGAGGAUGAGCAGCCACACUGGAACUGAGACACGGCCCAGACUCCUACGGGAGGCAGCAGUGGGGAAUAUUGCACAAUGGGCGCAAGCCUGAUGCAGCCAUGCCGCGUGUAUGAAGAAGGCCUUAGGGUUGUAAAGUACUUUCAGCGGGGAGGCGUUACCCGCAGAAGAAGCACCGGCUAACUCCGUGCCAGCAGCCGCGGUAAUAC
rnacentral:rRNA from 1 species